GACGAACGCUGGCGGCGUGCCUAAUACAUGCAAGUAGAACGCUGAAGAGAGGAGCUUGCUCUUCUUGGAAGAGUUGCGAACGGGUGAGUAACGCGUAGGUAACCUGCCUUGUAGCGGGGGAUAACUAUUGGAAACGAUAGCUAAUACCGCAUAACAAUGGAUGACCCAUGUCAUUUAUUUGAAAGGGGCAACUGCUCCACUACAAGAUGGACCUGCGUUGUAUUAGCUAGUAGGUGAGGUAACGGCUCACCUAGGCGACGAUACAUAGCCGACCUGAGAGCGUGAUCGGCCAAACUGGGACUGAGACACGGCCCAGACUCCUACGGGAGGCAGCAGUAGGGAAUCUUCGGCAUGGGGGCAACCCUGACCGAGCAACGCCGCGUGAGUGAAGAAGGUUUUCGGAUCGUAAAGCUCUGUUGUAAGUCAAGAACGAGUGUGAGAGUGGAAAGUUCACACUGUGACGGUAGCUUACCAGAAAGGGACGGCUAACUACGUGCCAGCAGCCGCAGUAA
rnacentral:rRNA from 1 species